UACGUAGGGGGCAAGCGUUGUCCGGAUUCACUGGGCGUAAAGCGCGUGUAGGCGGCGCGUCAAGUCGGGUGUGAAAGCCCGGGGCUCAACCCCGGGAUGCCGCUCGAAACUGGCGCGCUUGAGGACGGAAGAGGGGAGUGGAAUUCCUGGUGUAGCGGUGAAAUGCGUAGAGAUCAGGAGGAACACCCGUGGCGAAGGCGGCUCCCUGGUCCGUUACUGACGCUGAGACGCGAAAGCGCGGGGAGCGAACGGG
rnacentral:rRNA from 1 species